UAAGGCUGAUGGUAGAAACAGAGAUGCAGAGGGAAAGGUUGUCAUUUCAGUGUAAGUGAGCACAGUAUUAUUGGGUUGGGUUUUUUUUAGCUUUCCCUUUAAAAAGGAUUCUUUAUUUAGUCAGUCAUUGUCUCAUAUAACAAAAGGGUUUGUAGUACUUUCUGGGUUUGCAGUUCAAAGCAGAUAACAUCUCCAGCCAUAUUUUGCUAAGCAUAAAAAUGUUUGCAAUUGCUUUCCACUAACCUGCCCAGCAAACUACCAGUAAGAUAUUUCUGUAUAUUUACACACUUGAAAACAACGUUUUCUUUUGUUCAAGUAACAGAUGUAUGCAAAAAAAUUUACCAGCAAUAGAGAGCAGAAAGGAAACCACGAUGGCAAAGGACAUGGUGACUGCUUAAAAAUGGUAUCCAUGGUACACAGCAGCACAAAAUGACAUCACCCAAGGGAACUUCCUGGCUUCUCAUUACAGGAGGUUGGACUAGAUGACCUUUAAAAGUCCAGAGAGACACAGUGUCUUUUCAAGAAGAAAAUGAAUGCUGCUACCACAACAUACAGUAAGGCCUCCUGUAUCUUCUGUGUCCUGGAGACAGGAGCAAAGUUUGAGCAGCGCUGGAAACUGUUGGAGCUGUGUAUUAGGCAAAGCUACCUUGGCUGCAUGGACAGCAGUGAGGAGCUGCUACAAGGCAAGGUGAACCAAGGGGCUGUCUGUGCAAGAAGGGCAAAAAGACAUGGGCCUUGGAGUGCAGACCUGUCUGAAUUAACUUAACGGGCAGAAGAGGGACUCCUGAAGCCACUGAAGGAAGGAAAUCAUUACAGGGUUCUACAGAAGUAGGUCAUGUGCUACAGCUGCUCAUAGUUUAAGAGGAAGAAACAUGGGACCUCAAACAUGGAACAUGACUCCUUCAAAAUGCUUGAGAGCAACCCAAGAAAAACAUCCUCAGAGGCUUAUUUAAUAAACAUUAUCUAUAAUAGUC